UCUUCCUCUCAGAAAAAGCGUAUUUCCUCUCGUAGGGGCAGCGAUUUCACUGCUUACGUCGGACCACGACGGCUUCAAGCAGCAGUAGGUUCCAUUGCUGCAGGUUCUCUCUCUCUCUCUCCCUAAGGAACUUAUUUUCUUCUCAGAGGGCGGCGAACAGAACAAAAGCAUCAACUGAGUUUAGUUUCUCCUCAUCUGACUUUUUGCAGUACUUUUUCCGUCGCUGAAAUUAUCGAGGAACUUCAAGUUGGAACUUAUCUGGGACUCGGCUUUUUCCAAGUAUAGGGAACUUGACUAAUCUCCAGAAAGUGUUAAACCAAGUACGAAGGAGAGAAAACUAUGGGAGAUAAAGACAUUGGUCUAGAUGUUGAGAAUCAGCCUCGGAUAGGCAUGGAGUUUAAUUCAGAGAAUGAGGCAUAUGAUUUCUACAAUAACUACGGAGGAAGGAUGGGUUUUAGUGUUAGGAGAGACUAUGCGCAUAAGAGUAGAAAAGAUAAGGCAACCAUAACUUCAAGGAGAUUCGUUUGUAGUAAACAAGGAUAUCGGAAAAAAGAUAAGCGAUGUCUUGAUCCAAGGAAACCUCAAGCAGAGACAAGAACCGAUUGUCCUGCACGCAUGGGAAUUGCGAUUAUGGAUAAUGGAAAAUACCAAUGUCGUGAUUUUGUUGAAGAGCAUAAUCACCUUCUUCAUCUACCGGUUACCAUUCAUAUGAUGCGGUCACAACGGAAAAUUUUAGAUGCACAUGCUUCUAAAAUUGAUUUAGCUGAUGAUUCCGGAAUCAGACCUGAUGCCAUAUUGGAGUACAUGGAUGGGCACGCAAGAAACCAUGGGUAUGCCCGAAAAGAUCAUAAGAAUUAUCUCCAAACCAAACGUCAGCAUGAUUUAUCUUAUGGUGAAGCCGGGAGUUUGUUAUUAUACUUCGUAAAACAAACUAAGGUCAAUCCCUUUUUUACUUACUCAUUACAGUUGGAUAAUGAAGAACAGAUAACAAAUAUCUUUUGGGCUGAUCCAAAGAUGAUAACAGAUUUUGCACAGUUUGGUGAUGUUGUUACCUUUGAUACUACAUUUUGCACUAACAAAGAAUAUAGGCCAUUCGGAAUAUUUGCUGGAUUUAAUCAUCAUAGAGGAGUUGUCAUAUUUGGGGCUGCAUUGUUGUAUGAUGAGACAGCUGAAUCUUUUAGAUGGUUGUUUGAGGCAUUCUUGGAAGCUCAUGGACAAAAGAAACCUAUAACCAUUUUUACUGAUCAAGAUGAUGCAAUGGGAAAGGCAAUAGCUGAGGUUUUUCCUGAAACAUGGCACCGAUUGUGUACUUGGCAGAUUAUGCAAAAUGGCAUAAAGCAUCUAGGGAAUUUGAUGAAGGAUGGAACAAGCUUUCUAAAAGAUUUCAAAGCUUGUAUGUAUCAUUAUGAGGGAGAAUUAGAAUUUGAAAAGGUGUGGGAAAAAUUGCGCAAUGAUUAUGGAAUUAAAGAUGGUUCAUGGUUUGAUCGUCUUUAUGGGUUAAAAGAGAAAUGGGCUAAGUGUUAUAUGAAGAAGACUUUCACCAUUGGUAUGCAGAGUACACAGCUUAGUGAAAGUUUGAAUGGGGACUUGAAGGAUUACUUGAAAGUUAGUUUGGAUGUUAUGCAAUUUCUUAAGCAUUUCGAAAUGGUAGUGAAUGUUAAGCGUAGUAAUGAGCUAAAGGCUGAGUUUGAUGCAAGAAAUAAGCUGCCAAGAAAUAUGUUUUCCAAGUCACCUGUUAUGAAACAAGCAGGAGAAGUUUACACUCCUCAGAUAUUUGAAGAAUUUCAAGAGGAGUAUAACUGGAUUAGUGCUUGCUACAUAAAAUUUCGGAAUGAAAGUAAUGCCUUGCGUGAGUAUGUAGUUGCUAUUUUUGAGCAAGAAGGGGAUUUUAAAGUUUUGUGUAACCCAUUUGAAGCUAUGAUUGAAUGUAGCUGCAUGAAAUUUGAGACAUUUGGCAUUUUGUGUUGUCAUGCUUUGAAAAUUCUUGAUGUGCUAGAUGUCAAGUUUAUUCCUAAAGCCUAUAUUUUGAGGAGAUGGACACGAGCAGCAAGAAAUAUGGUGGUGGAAGAUGAUAAGGAAAAACAGGUUGAAAAAGAUGUUCAUUUGGAUUGUACACAACGUUAUGGGCUUCUUUGCUUGAAACUUGUUCAGAUAGCAUCACAAGCAUCUAAAUCAGGAGAAGGAUAUGCUUUGGUAAACAAAGCUGCUAUUGAGUUGUGUAAACAGCUUGAAAAUCUUUACAUUGAUGUCCCACAUCUAGGUGUGUCAAGUGAGGGUCCUCGUGUAAAAACGAUAGAAGAGUUGGGUGGAAAAAAAAGGAAAGAGAAAGAAAAAAGUUCUUACACCUAAUUCUCAAGCUUCUCAAGAACUACAAUUUGGUACACUGGAAUCCUUCACAUGGAUCUCAAGAAAUGGAGAACAAGAAGAGUUUUACUUCCCUAUUAAUGGGAUUAUUUGAUUGUUCCCAGCCUCAACAAUUUUCCUCCCUAGCCUGAACAUCUAUGGUCCUCCAUACUCAAGCAGAGGAAAUGGUGGAUAGAGUUAACCAUCCAUUUACCAAUUGUUUUGCAUGAUUGGGAUCAUAUCUGUAUUUACUUCAGAACACAGUUGGAGUGCCCUUGUAGCUAGACAUGUUUGAGAUGUGUGAGCUGAGAGAAAUUUCUGUUCCCACACGUAGAAGUGGGUUCCAACCACCAUCCACCUUCCAAACAAUGGGAUAUAGAUCUAAUGUUAAAGAUGAUGGUGACCAAGGUUCCAAUUAUAGAGUUCCUAACAACCAACUAGAUAAGGUUCCUAUUGGUGCUGGCAGUGAGAUAGAUUAUCAUCACAGAAGUUCUAAACAUGGGAAAUCCUCGCCAAAGAGGCAAGCAACUAGUGGUUCAAAGUGUACUCUGUCAGUUACUCUGGUUGCUUCUUUGUACCAGAAGGAUGCGCAUAUACUGCUUUCUUGUUCAGUUGGUAAGGAAAAAUCACCAAAUAUCCGAAGAGCUCAGCAGGACUGUAUUUUGCCAAACAGACCAGAGGGAAAUGGCUCAAGACAUCCAAAGAACUCAUUGAUCCAUUCUGUUGAUGACAAGGAGUGCCCUGUUCAUUCUCAUAGCAGGCUGAAAUCUUUCCAAAGAGCUCAGAUCAGUCAACACCAAUCAUUUAAGAUACUUAUAUAGCUUCUGCCAACCUGCGAGAUAGGCUUUGUAAUUGCAAGGAGAUAUGCCUUCAAGAUGAAAAACUUCAAACCCAGACAUAGAGCUCUUCUUGUGCUCCACUAUUGAAGUUCAGUUUAAUGUUCUCUAAAUCAGAAGGAAUUUACAGUUGAUAUCAGGGUAGAAUAUUGCUUGGGCCAUCAGCUUUGGGUCGUAGCAAGAUAUUCUUGAAUUCAGUUUUCCCACCCAGGAGCCCAACCGUAUUAGACACUCAGGCUAAUCUUGGCCCCCUCUUCUUUUUCUUCCUCGUAGGCCUAGAAUUAGAUCCUACAUCUAUCCGAAGAACUGGAAAGAAAGCUCUUGCCAUAGCCGUUUUAGAAAUUGAUUCAUCCUUUGUGCUUCGGAAAGCUAUCUCUAAAGGGGUGCAUGGACCUCCACUCCUUGUCUUCAUGGGUGUAGUUCUGUCCAUUACUACCUUUUCUGUCUUGGCCCAUAUCCUUGCUGAGCUUAAGCUCCUCAACACUGACAUGGGCAGUUGGCCAUGUCAGCUGCCACGGUUAAUGUGGCCAUGUGGAUCUUACUAGCCCUUGCCAUUGCCCUCUCAACCACUGGCCACUCAACUAUUGUCUUGCUAUUAUGGGUAUUUCUUUCUGGUUCUCUUUUUGUUAUCUGUGCCAGCAUACUGCUCCUCCCAGUCUUUAAUUGGAUGGCCAAGUGUUUCCAGGAAGAAGAACCUGUGGAUGAGUUAUACAUAUGUGUCACCUUAGUGGUAGCAUUGGUAGCUGGGUAUGUCACAGAUUCUAUAGGAAUCCAUGCUCACUUUGCUGCUUUGUGGUUGGAAUUUUGUUCCCUAAAGAUGGACACUUUGCUGGUGCUCUUGUGGAAAAGUUGGAAAAUCUAGUGUCUGGCCUUUCCCUUCCUCUGUAUUUUGUACCAAGUGGGUUGAAAACCAAUGUAGCCACAAUUCAAGGGGCGCAAUCAACAAAUAUAACAAAGAGCCCAUGCCCUGACCACAUGUCCUGACCCCAUGCCCCCCCUAUCCCACCACCGGCAACCACUAAUGAACACCCCUGAGCCCAUGAUCCUCCUUCCUCUUCCACCCCCUCCCUCCCCUCCUCUCGACAGCCAUCCCUGGACCUCCGUUGUGUCUUCCUCUCCUCUCCACCCUCCUCCCACCACUGGCCACUCUGUUUACUUCCACCUACCCUCCUCCCUUAACUCCAUCACUAUCGGACUCUUGCCCCCCGGGGCUUUUGGAAUCUGAGAUCAGCAAAUGGAAGAGCUGUGUCGUCAGUUCCUUCUGGACAGCCGCCAUCCUUUUGUUGUUGUUAAGUCCUCUCUCCAUAACCAAUGGAGACCCUUGGGUUCUCUUUCCACCUUCAUGCUUGAUAACAGAAUUUUCAUCUUCAAUUUCUCCGUUGACAAAUCCAUUGCCAUUGAUGGUGGCCUUUGGUAUGUGGGCAAAAAACCUAUUUUUUUGAGACGGUGGGACGAACGCACCUCCUUCUAGCGUUCAGAACCGACUUCCAUCCCUCUUUGGAUUUCCCUCCCCAACCUUCCCCUUCAAUUCCGGUGUGUUAAGGGCCUCAUUGGUUCCAUCAUAGGCAGGCCGCUCUACUCGAACAAGUGAACGAAAACCAUUGAUCGACUCUCCUUUGCCCGAAUUUGUGUUGAGUUCUCGGCCGACCAGGUUCUACCCUCUAUAGUCACCAUUCUAGACGGAGAAGACUAUUCCUUUGAACAAGGGAUAAAAUAUGACUAGAUCCCCCUUCUGUGUACCACUUGCAAAUGCUUUGGGCACUCUACAGUGCUUUGUGUAAAAAAAAAAUAUAUUAAAUAACACGGAGGCAGGGAAAAUCUGGCGGAUUCAAUCGAAGGUCCAUUGAUGCUUGGUCUUCAUGCUCCUCUCACAAGCUCGCCUUUGGCUUCCCAACAUCCUGAUAACCUCAAUUUGGAUCAGCUCCCUAAGAGAACACUCAUGAGGAGGAAACGAGAUAGGAAUCACCGACCUCUGGCUGUGAACUUUGACGGACAUGCUUCUUUGUCUCGAUCCAUUGGUCCGAUAAAAGAUCCCGACAGCAUUAACUGCUUCUCCCUGCUGACUUGCCCGGAUGUUCCAGAUGAUACUAUCGCCCUAUCACCUCAUCCCACUUCCCCACACCGCCUCUCUGUCCAUUCUAUCCCUUCUACCCCUCCCCCUCUUGUGCUGGCCAACAGCUUCUAUGCCUCGAACCAUGAGCCAUGCCUCCUCCCUUCUGUCUCCUCAACCUCUAACCUCCCACCUCUACUUCCUCUAACUUCUUCGCUACUCCCUUUGACGGAAAUCCUCUGUACUUCUGUCUCCACCUCACCUCUUAUAUCUUCUCCAACCAACCCCUAACCACGCGAUCCAACCAAACCCCCCUUUCAUCCCUCUUAACCAGUUCCUCCCGAUUUAGUUGCUAUCCAAAUUCUCCAAGUUCCCUUUGAACCACCCGCUCUACCUGGGUAAUUUAUAUAACCCAACCCAUACCAACCCGAACACAUUUUCUGACUCACCUACAUCUUCAUCCUUCUCACCUGACCCAUACCCACCCUCUUUGAACUAGGUCCACCACCCAUAUCCACCUUCUCCCUCACCCGCUUCUUCUUCCUGCCCUUAACUGUUGCACGAUGUCCUUCCUGUCCAGGUUGCUGUCUCCGCCCACUGCUCCGCAGUUGGCCCUCAGGAUGACCCCACAUCUUGGCUUCCCCCUUUUUUUCAAGUGGGUCUUUCUCGCAUGUGACACCAUCCACCCUCGCCAAUUUGGUCACCUCUGGCCCCGUUGACUUCUCUGCAACCAACAUUGCCUUCUCUUGCUUGACCCUGCCCGCUGCGACUGUGCUUCUUGCCUCUGUGUUUUCGCCUGGCCUCCUGUUGGGCUAUGAUGCUGCUGUGGAGCUUCCUUUAGCUCCUCUACUCUCUCACACACCUUGCGUCAACUACGACUCUCCGAAUUGCUUGGCUCAUGCAAAGCUGCCAAUGAACUUUACUGAUGGUACCUUAGCUUUUGGGCUCCCUUCUAGCCUACGCCAGUCUUGCCUGGGGCGGCAAUGCCUUUUACUGCUCCUACUGGUGCUCCCCACCUUGGUCUCCUGCCUGCCCCCUCUCUGUGCCUUGACACUGGCCUCCAUCCAGACACUAACCUCCUGGGCUCUUCUCUAAAAGCAACUCCCCCCUCCGGGAACCAUGGUCUGUAGUCCUCUAGCCCUAUGGCUAAGGAAACAUCUACUCAUCCCAAGUCUAGACUCUAGACUCUAGACUAGCCCCUCUAGACCCCACCAGAAAUCCUGCUGCUGCCCAAAAGAAGGUUAUGUCUUCCCUGCCCCGCCCCAAAGGUCUUUCUGACCCCAAACCUUCCACUACCCUUUCGGCCAAAAUCCAAAACUGGCCCAUCCACCUGCUCUGAUGAGUCUCGGCUGCCCUCCACUCUCGUUCCAAAUGAUACCUUGGACUAUCUGGAAUGUCAAAGGUCUCAAUUCCUCUGCCAAACACGCAUCCAUUCGCUCCCGUAUUAAGUCUCCAAAGAUGUUAUAUGUUGUCUCCUUGAAACUCGUGUUCUCGAAGCCAAUGCCCCUCGCAUCAUUGCAUCAAUUGCUCCUUCUUGGUCAUUCAUUUCCAACUAUGCCCACUCCCCAAACGGGCGCAUUUGGAUCCUUUGGAACCCUUUUUUUUAUUCACAUCUCCCAUAUUGCCUCUUCCUCCCAAGUCAUCCAUUUUUCCUUCUCCCCUCCCUCGGGCUCCCCCUUCUCCUUCUUCUCUGUUGUCUAUGCACAUAAUCAUGCCCCCAUAGACUUCCUCUCUGGUUCGACCUCCUCUCCUUCUCCUCCACCCUCUCCUCCCUUCCCUGUGGCAUCGGAGGAGAUUUCAUUGUGGUUAGGGCAUCCCAUGAGAAAUUUAGCAGUGCCCCUAUUGACAUCCCCUCCUCUGACUCCUUCAAUGAGUGUAUUGAGGAUAUUGGUAUGGAUGACCUUAGAUGGUCCAGUUCCAAAUUCACCUGGCAGAAUGCUUGACUGUCUCCUUGUCAAUGAAGCUUGGCUCACCUCCUUUCCUUCCUCCCACACUAGUUUUAAUCUCCCCGGCAUCUCUGAUCAUUCUUCCUCUUUGUCCAAUCCUAUAUCUCCUUUGGCCCCAAACCUUUCAAAUUUUUCGAUAUGUGGUCCCUUCAUGAUGGAUUUCUCCCCUUGGUCAGGCCCAUCAGGGAUACCUGGGCCAUCCCCACUACUAUCUUCUCUUCUCCUCUCAUUGCUUUUGCCAGAAAGCUCAAGAAUGUCAAAGCAGCUCUCAAACCCUGGAACUCUACCACUUUCGGUAACAUCUCUUCUCUGGUCUCUUCUUGCCUAGAGAAACUUGACCUUAUUUAAUCCAGGCUUCAGCUGGACCCCUCAAUUCUUCCCUAGCUGAUGAAGAAAAGCUGGCGGCUUUGGACCUCUCCUCCCACCUUGUUCAAGAAGAAUCUUUCCUUCGUCAGAAAUCCAGGAUCAAAUGGCUUGAGCUCUGUGACUCCAAUUCGGCCUACUUCCAUUGCUCCCUCAAAGCCCGAACCAAUGCUAACUCCAUUCUCAAGCUCAUCUUCCACUCCGGUGCGGGGCUUCUCUCCCCCAAUGAUAUCAAAGUUGAAGCCGUCUCCUACUUCGAUGACCUCUUCCAUUCCCCCCUCCACUUCCACCUCUACCCCUUCCCUACCCCCCAACAUCCUUAACAAAUUCAUUUAUGAUCACCUUAUGCUAUCUCUUCAAGCCAUCCCCUCGGAUGAUGAGAUCCUUUCCCUUGUCCUUCACCACAAGUCUAAUAAAGCUCUUGGACCUAAUGGCUUUAGCAUGGGAUUCUUUUUCACUUGUUGGCAUAUCAUCCGCGAUGACCUCAUCUUUGCCAUUCGUAGCUUCUUCCUAAUCCCUCCCAAAUCUCAGGCAUCAACCACUCCUUCAUCUGCCUCAUCCCCAUGGAGGGCGCUCAAUGCAUGUCUGACUUUAGGCCCAUCUCCCUUUGUAAUCUUCUAUAUAAACUUAUUGCCAAGAUCCUCGUCAAUCGGAUCCAAAAGGUUAUUGACUCCCUUGUCAGUCCGAACCAACCUGCCUUCAUUGCUGGAAGAAGUAUCUUUGACAACAUCAUCCUUUGCCAUGAGAUCGUCAGAGGCUUCAAUCGUAAAUCCCACUCUUCUGUUGCCCUUCUUAAGAUCGAUAUUCAUAAGGCAUUUGAUUCUAUCCGCUGGGAUUUCAUCUCCAAAGUCCUACUUCAAAUGUCUGCCCCCUUUUUGUCCACUGGAUUAUCUCUUGCAUCUCCCCCCCCCCCCCCCCGCUUUUUAUGUCCUCAUCAAUGGCAGCCCUGCAAGCUACUUCUCCUCCUCUGUGGGCAUCAGACAAGGAUGCCCCCUCUCCCCCUUCCUCUUCUAUCUGGCUCUUGAAGUUCUCUCCCGAUCCAUCCAAUCAUCCGCUGACCUUAUCUCCCCCGUUCUCAAAUGAAAAUCCCUCAUGCUAACCCACCUGGCCUUUGUUGAUGAUCUUAUGAUCUUCUCUAAAGCCGACCCUAGCUCCAUCACCAAUAUCAUGGCAUUGCUUCACCUUUUCGAGUCCCUCUCCGAUCUAAAAAUCAACCUCCUCAAAUCCAACCUCUCUUCCUUUUGGGUGUUUCUUAUGCCCGUCAAGCCCAGCUCCUUGCCAUCUCUGGUUUCUCCCUGGGAACCCUCCCCGUCAGAUACCUUGGUCUCCCUCUUCUAUCCUUUCGUCUCUCUUUCCACCACUGUUCCCCCAUCCUUGAUUCCAUCAGGAAAGGCUCCAACUUUGGAAAGGCAAGUUUCUCUCCUAUGUUAGCCGCCUUGUUCUUAUUCAAUCUGCUCUCCAAUCCCUCUUACCUUUAUUGGUCUAGCAUUUUUAUCCUCCCUGCUUCCACAUCCAAAGCUAUUGACUCUCUCCUCUGCGCCUUUCUUUGGAAAGGAACUGAUGCCACCAAAUUCCUCCACCCCAUGAGCUGGUCCAAUGUUUGUCGCCCAAAAGCUGAAGGGGGUUUGGGCCUUCGUAAAAUCAAAGAUGUCAACUCUGCUGCCAUCCUUAAGCUCAUUUAGAAGACUUGUCUCCAAGCAACGCAGUAUCUAGGUCUCCUGGAUAUUAUCCGUCCCCCUUAAAAAUGAUAUCCUCUGGAUAGCCCCCCUUUCCCCAGAUGCUUCCUGUAUUUGGCGUAGCAUUCUCAAUUCCAGACCUCUCGACCUUUCUGCCAUCUCCUGCAUUAUUUGCAACGACUCCUCCACCUCGCUCUGGCUUGGUCCUUGCCACCCUACUGGCAUCCUUCUCCCUUGGUCUCCCCAAAAUCAUCUCCUCCUUUGGCUCCACCAGAUCCGCCAUCGUGGCCUCCAUCCUCUCACUCGACGGUUGGUUCCCUCCGUUUCUCCCUCCCCCUUGGUGGAUCUGUGGUCCUCCCUCCCCCCAUUCCCCCUAGCCAUAGAGGAUUAGAUGAUAAUGUUAUUUGGGUGCCCUUCUCCUCGGGCUUGUUCACCUCCGCCUCUGCUUGGAACUUUAUCCUCUCCAAAGACCCUUUUAUUCCUUGGCGAAAUAUCAUAUGGUUUAAAGGGCACAUUCCUUGUCAUAGUUUCAUGGCCUGGCGAGCCCUCUCCUACUGCCUCCCCACGCAGUCCUUCCUUAAUUACCGCCACAUUCAGGUCUCUAUCUUCUUCUAUCUAUGCUGGAACGGUACUGAAGAUGUCGACCAUCUUUUCUUCUCCUGGCCCUUCUUUGCUUCCAUCUGGAAGAAGAUCCUCCACUCAUGCUGGCCCUCCACCCGUCGCAUCUUCCCCCUUCCCCACGGAUGGAUAUGGGUUGACAUGACCUUUGGCUCCUCCAUAUGUGACAGAGUCGGAAAGCUCGCCUUUUGUGCCACCAUCAACCACCUUUGGAUGGAACGAAAUCUUCGUAGAUGGACCCCCAACUCCCGUUCUUUUGAAAUGAUUUGGAAAGCCAUCUACGUUGAUGUUACCUCCAAGCUUAGAUCCCUCCGCCACCUCCCAGUUCGUGACACCCCAAGGAACAAGCUCAUUGUUGUCCCCCCAAAUUGAUGUCUCCCCUAGAUAGUUGGGCUUAGCCCCCCCCUUCCCUCCAAGGGUUUGUUCCUUUUGCCCCCCCCCCUAUUCCCCCCU